rnacentral:tRNA from 1 species
UCCUCAUUGGCGCAAUCGGUUUAGCGCGUCCGACUUUUACGGCUGGUCCUGGCCGAGGAAAUCGGAAGGUUGUGGGUUCGAGUCCCACAUGAGGAG